CUGCAGAAGAGAGAGAGAGAGAGAGAGAGAGAUAGAGCCGAACAGAGAGGAGCAUGAGGGGGAAAAUGUCAGGAAACUCGAUACGUGCUGCUGAAAUCGGACAAAUAACUGCAGUUAUAAUAUUCUAAUGCAGCUAUAAUGUUUUUCUAAUUCGAGUCGAAAAGAGGAAAUAAAUAUCUGCAGUUUGGGUGUUUACUGUACAUGAGCAAUGCUGCACGAAUAGUGCUGGAUUAAGGUCGUUUGGAUUAAAGCCACUAUCAGCAUGUGUGCCGUGAUGCCAGAAAGUAGUAAUGAAAGGAAAACUCCAGUUUUUAGUUCUGAGAUGGAGUUCACUAAUGAGGAGCUGAUGUGGCUGCUAAACAUAUCGCCAGAGGUACCUGUUGGUAAACUCACUCCAGUGGAGGAAUGCUGGUGCGAGCUGGCAAAGCCGAAGACAGAAAACGAGGCCGAGCUGUUCCAGAUAAUGGCCUCUGUACGCUUUGGCUUGACUGACGCCAUCGCCUCCAGGAUGGACAUGCUAAGAAUUACAGUAUAAAAACUAAGCAGGAUAUUUCAUAUAAGUGUGAUUAAAUAUGGUACAAAAAUUCAUAUUAAACUACGCUACCUAUCUAAAAAUUGGAAGUAAACCAUAGUUGAAUGAACAGAUGCCUUUUUUGGAAAAGAAAAAUCUGCUGAAGCUGUGUACAGAGAAAUGCAAAACACCUUCUUCACCUUCAAAACCAAAUAUGCUAAAUAAAAUUUCCAUCCUUCUACCACUCUUAAAAACGUUGUAUAUAAAACAUGUAUAUAAAGGUCACAAAUUUAAAAGUUCUAUAACUCUAAUAAACAGGCAAAAUAUUCCAGUAAAUACAGUAUUUACACUGAGCCUAAUAGGUUAAAUAAUCUGUCCUGAGGAAUGCAGGAGGAUCUGGAAUUUAUUUUACACUUAAAAGGGGCUCUUGACUACAAAAUCUUUGAGCACCCCUGCAUUAUGGCACAGCUUUAUCAUCUACAUCAAAACCUUAUACUAUGACGUUUUCAUGAAACCUACUGUACCACAUGAAAGUGACAGCAUGUCCAAACGUUUUCUGUACUCCACAAAGUUUAAUAUCAGUGUGUGUAUUUUAUCAUCAAUGCUUAAUUUGUUCCAUACUAGAAAUAUACAAGUCUGGCAGCACUGUUUACAAAUGAUAAGGCUGCCUUGAAAGAUGAUGUACAGUAUAAUGUCAUGCCAAGUCUACCUCAGUGUGUGACUGUAGCUGCUUGAUGCACGAACAAUUAUUCUUGUGUAAUCUCGUACAGCUCUUACUGUAGUCCAGAUCAAAGUGGAAUAUUUAAAUAGAAAAAUGAUUUUGGAAAUGUAUACUGAAACGUCCAUGCACUCCUCAUAUGCAACAUCAUACCUCUCUGUAAUAUACCGUAUAAGCAUAACCAUAUUAAUCUUUUCGAUUCUAUGCUUUUUACUCUAUGCUUUUUGUUGAAUCCCCUCGUUAAAAUGUCUUUUACCAUGGUGGAAAAUGACAAAGUACUGUACAUAAUAAACUGGCAUCUUUGA